rnacentral:snRNA from 1 species
AUACUUACCUGGCAGGGGAGAUACCAUGAUCACGAAGGUGGUUUUCCCAGGGCGAGGCUUAUCCAUUGCACUCCGGAUGUGCUGACCCCUGCGAUUUCCCCAAAUGCGGGAAACUCGACUGCAUAAUUUGUGAUAGUGGGGGACUGCGUUAAAGAAAAAAAGAAAAAUGUUAUGUUGACUUUUA